UGGGGAAUUUUGGACAAUGGGCGCAAGCCUGAUCCAGCCAUGCCGCGUGCGGGAAGAAGGCCUUCGGGUUGUAAACCGCUUUUGUCAGGGAAGAAAUCCUCUGGGCUAAUACCCCGGGGGGAUGACGGUACCUGAAGAAUAAGCACCGGCUAACUACGUGCCAGCAGCCGCGGUAAUACGUAGGGUGCGAGCGUUAAUCGGAAUUACUGGGCGUAAAGCGUGCGCAGGCGGUCUUGCAAGACAGGUGUGAAAUCCCCGGGCUUAACCUGGGAACUGCACUUGUGACUGCAAGGCUGGAGUACGGCAGAGGGGGAUGGAAUUCCGCGUGUAGCAGUGAAAUGCGUAGAUAUGCGGAGGAACACCGAUGGCGAAGGCAAUCCCCUGGGCCUGUACUGACGCUCAUGCACGAAAGCGUGGGGAGCAAACAGGAUUAGAUACCCUGGUAGUCCACGCCCUAAACGAUGUCAACUGGUUGUUGGACGGCUUGCUGUUCAGUAACGAAGCUAACGCGUGAAGUUGACCGCCUGGGGAGUACGGCCGCAAGGUUG
rnacentral:rRNA from 1 species